UUUAUUAGGUAUAUAUCAUGUAUUUAGCACAAUGCUUGGCCCCCACUUGCCUGUCAGUAUAUUUUAGUGUCCUUACCAUCAUCAUCGUGUCAACUGAAGGCACCGUCGUCCUAGAACGCAACUGCCCUCCAUCACUCAGUGCUUUCUAACAGAUCCUAGCACACUGCCCUCUCUUGUCAUGCCCAAAUUUGCUUAUCUUAAUGGACCUCCCAUUAAAGUCCUCCCCCUCCCCCUUUUAAGUCCUAAAAGUACCCCUCUCCCCAGCUUUCAGUCUGGGGUGGAGCAGAAACAACCAAUAAACUCACUGAAUGACCAAGCUCUUCCACGUGAGGUCUCCAAGAUUUCCUCAGGUGUUUCCCCUAUGAGACUGCCCUCUGUCUUUCAGAAUUCUACUUUACAAAGUACGAAAUACAUACAAGCGCAGGUUUAGUUUAAUUUUGACAAAGGGGGAGGCACAGGGUUUUUCCUUCUAGGAGGGUCAAACGUAGAGUUGUGGAAGAUUAAUUUCCUCCCACGUCAUCCCUGACUCUUCCCAUCCCACAAAACAUAGCAGACGACCAGGGAUAUACCAGAGAAAAUAACAGCCUUAAGACCCAGCAAGGGGGGGCCUCUGCCCUGGGCACCAUGCUUUCGAGAGUUAUCCUUUAGAGGGUCCUGCUGUGGCCCCUCCGCUGUCAUUCCCUGUCACAGCUUUCCCCACAGGGAGAGUCAGUGGGUCAAGGGGACACCCCCUUGCAGAGUCUGUGCUUCUCUCGCUCGGAGAGCAUGGUUCCUGGAACCCUGAAUUCCUGCAUCAGCAUCCUCGGCCUGCCUGGCUGAGGAUAAAGGAUGCUGCCAGUGUGUGCACUCCUAGACCCGAGAGAUGGGUGGAGGUGGCUGCUGAUGGGGCCACCUCAGGUUGUAGCCCAGCAGGACCCCGCGGAGCCUUCCUGGGAACAGGCCCCUCCCCCGUAUCCUCUGAUUUAACUCCUCCUCAAGUACCCAGAUCACAGUGUCUGAUGCCCGCUGCCGGAGUUGUUUUACAGAUGAAAGAACCCCCACCAGAUGGAAGAUGUUAACAACUUGAUGAUCAUGGCCCGUAGCCCCCACGUCUACUGGGGGUUUUACUGAUGGAUCACGUUAACAGGUGUGACACCUGUUACCUCUCCAUCAACCAAUCAGAGAGUUGUGCACGAGCUGCUCACGUACCCUGGGACGCCCCUCCCUCACCUGGCCUGUAAACGUGCUUUGCUGAAACCCACGGAGGAGUGGAGGGUUUUGAGCGCUACCUGUCCUGGUUUUCUUGCUUGGCGCCCUGCAGUAAACGCUGCUGUGUCCUUCACCACAGCCAGGUGUCAACAGAUAGGCUUCGGUGUGCAUGCUGGAGUCGGCCAAGGGGCUGGUCAGUCCCGAGGCUGCUGUCCGUAACCCCGCCAGGUUCUGGAUUGGAACCCCAGAGCAGAGAAGAACCCCACGUUCCAUGCUGGUCUCAGGAAGGAGGAUUUGUCAAGAUCGGUGAGUCAGGAGGGAUCCCCUCGACCACAGUUGCAUUUACGCUCAAGAAGAAUGAAGACUCUUCAGAAUUUCAUGCCCCAGAUACCAGUAACAAGGGAGCUGUGACAGACAACGUUUAAUUUUAUUAUCCCUCCUUGGAGGCUUAUAAUUAAAUGAUGCUUUAUUAGGAGUGUUGCAGAGUUAAGCUGAUGUGUUCUUCCAUGCUGCCUUCAAUUUUCAGUCCCUUCUGCUUUGUGAGUUUGGAUAAUGGCCAUUCUUUCUAUAUUAUUUUCCAAUUUUCCAACCACUCUCAUCUGUGGUAUCUCAUUUGUUUCUUAUGACCCUGACCUUGGAGCACAGAGAAUUUAAACAACUUAAAGUCAGGCAGACGGUGAGCAAGCAGAUCAGAGGCUCAGCUCCGGGCUGCAGAUUUAGGCUCUCUCCUCACCCUCUUGGAGGAUAUUCUGACCCAGACCUAUGGGAUGCCCAACCUAAGGCUAGCCUGCUAGGUCAAUUCGUGGAAACAUGGAUUACCACCCCUUAUAGCUUCAAGGCUUCUGAAACCAGAUCUUGAAGGUGAGCCGUCUGGGAAGGAAAGGACUCAGUGAAAACUCGCAGACCAAAUUCAAAGGUUCCUCUUAUGAGACCACCAAUAUUCUGCAUAUGUUGGUGAAAUAAAACAGGAGGAGGGUUUAGAGUUCUGGAGUCUCACUCUGGAAAUGUCACAGUUUGAUCUCAAAAUUUGCUGUGAAGUUGUAAGCAUGACAUUGUGAAACUCCACAUAUUACCCUUGAGUUCCUUGUUUGUUUUCAUUGUGACCUGACUCGCAUAUAAUUUUAUUUUACUUUUUUCUUUAAAACUCCCAGGAUGUGUGGUCAUAUGAUUCAAAUGGAGAAAAACACUGUCAUAAUAUGAAGGAAUUAUCACUUUUCUAGUUUUUAUUUAAGUAAAAAGCCCUAAUAAUCAGAUAACCUACUACUAUAAUUUUUAUCUGUAUCUUAAAGCAAAAAUAUCAAUAAAGAUUUAAAGUUUGUUUUGA